rnacentral:tRNA from 1 species
AGGACUGUGGUUGACUGGUUAAUGACGUGCUCUCCUCCCGGGCAUUCAUGCGGGUUCGAAUCCCGCCGGUCCUG